CCUACGGGGGGCAGCAGUGGGGAAUAUUGGUCAAUGGAGGAAACUCUGAACCAGCAACGCCGCGUGCAUGAUGAAGGUCUUCGGAUUGUAAAGUUCUUUUCUAAGGGAAGUAGAAAGUGACGCUACCUUAGGAAUAAGCCUCUGCUAACUACGCGCCAGCAGCCGCUGUAAUACGUAGGAGGCGAGCGUUAUCCGGAAUGACUGGUCGUAAAGGGUGCGUAGGUUGUUUGACAAGUUGGUAGCGUAACUCCGGGGCUCAACCUCGGCACUGUUUCCAAUACGGUCGGACUUGAGUGCAGGAGGGGUAAUUGGAAUUUCUAGUGUAGCGGUGGAAUGCGCAGAGAUUAGGAGGAACACCGGUGGCGAAGGCGAAUUGCUGGACUGUAACUGACGCUGAGGCACGAAAGCGUGGGGAGCAAACAGGAUUAGAUACCCUUGUAGUC
rnacentral:rRNA from 1 species